AUGUUCCCUGCCAGCCGCGCUGCAAAUAUUUCCAGUGCAUCAGAAGCCCACGUCGGUAAUGGAAGGGAGAUGGGGAUUUCAGCAGGGGUGAGUCUGCUCACUAACGAACCGGCCAGCCCGGCUGGGGAGAGCGGCGUUGCCAUUAAAAACCUUGUUUUGCAAAGGCUUCGUAAUAAGUCAGCCAGAAAUAGAGACGAGGACAGAUCAAGCGCAGGAGCCGUGCAAACCAGAUUCUCCAAACUCCUCAAAGACCACAGGCAGACAUUAAGGCUGUGCCUUCCUCACAUACUGCGAGCGGGAGUCAGCCCUGAAGGCCCAGAGUGCAUUGCAUGAACAAAAGACGUUGCCCGGGGUGAGUCUAGCCUCUGCAUCACCAACUUGGGUUUUCUCCUAUUUCCCUUGGAAGCUGGGGGAGGGAAAGGGGAUGGUGGUUAUACACAGAUACCUGGGGACUCAAUGUACUGUUGGCCUUCUCUCAUGACUGUCAAGGGAAGGCAGACUGAAGGCAAGACCAGAGCUGAGAAUGUGACAUUUUUCCUUCUGUGAGCAAAGGAUGGUGGCGGUAAUGGGGACAUGCUAUCAACUUCUCCCCGAGAUAUAAGCCCAUUCCACAUGAUAGAUCAGCCUGAAAGCCUGUUGUAACACAUAGGCCAUCAGUGCAAACAGGAAGGCUUGUGGAACAGGGCAGAAUUAAGGAGUGAGAACAGAUGAAAAUACGAUGAACCAAUGGAGUUUCACUCAGAACUAAGAAUAGGUGUUUUGUUAUUCAGGAAGACUUAGUUUGUGAGGUGGUGGGUGGUAGCCAUGGAAGGACAGAUGCCUCUGUUUGCAACUGUGUAUGUCCCCCCACCUUCCAGAUUUCUGAAGUCCUCUGGGCUGAAGAUAGCUGUCAGGAAAGUUAAGUUGUCACCCUAACUGGAUAUGGUAGAGUUGGGGCUUCCCCUGCUCCUGCCUGGUGACAAUUCUGUUCUAAUCAGUCUUCAGUGAUGAGUAGACCUCAUGGAGCCAUGGCAUAGCCCCUGUUUUCUCAUGACCUAGACAGAAUCGUGCUUAUGCGUCCUCCUUCUGCCCCUUCUCUGCUCUGUCCUCAGAGAGAAGAGAGACAAGAAAGAGGAAGGAAUCAUCCAUCUGCUGAUGGAGCUAGAAGUCUAAUGGGGGAAGGAAACUCUUAACAUAAGAGAGCCUAAAGCCUAGUGGCUUUUUAAUGAAAUGGGCCUCUUCAAAGGCCAGCCAAGAAGAGGUUUCCUUGAUCCCAGGGCAGACACCAUCCAUGCUCCGAGCUCCUUUGGAAAGGGUGUGAGAUCACCUAGGUUUAUUUAAGGAGCCAGCCCUUGUCUUUGAUAAACUAGCAUGCCCUGAUCCUGUUUUAUGGCUUCUCUGAGUGGGAGGAGGGAAUUAUUUAUGGCCCCCCUAACUGGGUGUGAUAUCAGCCACUGCUAUUAUCUAGGCGAGUUCAUCAUCAUAAAAUAAGAAGCAUUCUUCAGGUCAAGGGUCUAAGUUUUCUCUCCGAGUGCUCAGUGACAGGGAUAUAUAUGGUUCUCUCUGUAUCUAAGGAUCGAUGGAUAGAUGUGUAUGUACAUUCGCAUACAUCUAAUUUCUAUGUGACAUAUGCAUGUGUCCAAUACAGACCUACCAGAGGCACAUAUGUGCUACAUAUAUGAGGAUGUGUGUGUGGCUUCUCCGAAUUGCUUAAGUACAAAGAGGCUCAAGUGAAUAUAAACUCAUGUAUACAGAUAAAUACAUAAGCUUACAUUCUCUUGCCCCUGAGGACAGGGAAAGGGAGGAGGCAAAAGCACUAUUAACAAGGGUGGGAGGGGUCAGGAGGAGGAUUCAGCGGAAGAGGAAGACCUUUGCAUCAAAGAUCAGUUGGUUUGGCUUUGGGGGGUCCUUUUUUCCUUUCUGAAUUAUACAGUGUCUGCCCUCACAUUACCACAGCCUGCCUAUUUGUUAUUGCCAAGCACGGGCUGAGUCAUUUUAAUAAUAUGCACAUGGAUGCAAAUGUAUGGAAAUGAUGCGCCACGCAGAUUCUGUGCGAAGCCUGGGCUCAGGCAUGGUGGCCCUGUAUGGCUGUGUGUUUUAGUGGAGUGGCUCCUUGCACAUAUUUUACAGUAAUUACUUUCUGGAUAUGCUCUGGGAGGUGACAGAAAUAUGUUCCACCUCAUCCCAUGUUAUAUGUGAAACGUAAAGCCAUAUUGUGAGAUAAUCAAAAGACUUCUGAGAAGGUAUGUGUUGAUUAAUAAAGUGUUUAUGGUACUUUGUUUUGGGGGAAAU
ensembl:lncRNA